GCUACUAUUGAUCAAUUACUUUUUAAAAUAAUAAAUACACAUAAAUUCAUUGAACAAUUAAUUGUCUAUUUUCGAUUUUCUUCAGUUCUAAAAACUACUUCUACUAUAUAUACUACCCGCCAACACAUCACCAACUACAUCCUUGUUCACUAGCAACAUGCCACACAUCACCAAGCAGCAACAUCACCAAAACUAAACAUAGCAUGCCUCUUGUUCACAUCUACAUUUCCACCUACAAAUAGUAAAGAGGAAACAACCACAGAUGGUUACACAGACGAACAACAAAAUAGAACAAUUGUCAACCCCAAAUCCUACGCUAAUUAUAGGUGCAAUCCCACACGCCAAUAUCAAUUAAGUACCAAAUUUCAUUACCAAAUUCUUGAUCACAAAGGUUCACAACAGAGCAAUCACUACUAAAGUAAUUGACAUAAAUCAUAAAAACACAUAUGUUGAGAUGCUUCACGUGCUACAUGGUCAACCACAAUAAUCAAAGCUACAUUUCCAUCCAUCCUACCUAUUUCUCUCUGGAACAAUCAUGAAUUCAGAUCAAUAAACUUCAAGUUAGCAAAAACAAAGAAACAAGUAGACAAAGCAAAGUUGAAGGAGUAUACCUAUCAAAAUGAAUCAAAGUAGGCCCUAGCCGCAUAAUUUCUUCCAAAUCUGAUCUGUCCGUGACUGUCUUCAAUAUUCUGCAUGUACUAAGAAAGUAAGAGUUGAAUCUCUUAGCUGAUAUCCUUCACUACAUAAAACAAGAAUAAGCAAAACCUUAAAAACUUGCACAACAACAUGAGCUUGAACUUACACAAAAAUUCAUCACUUCUUCGCACGAUGAUAUCCACAAUGACUGUCCUGAACAAGACCAUCUUCAUAUUCAAUAGAGGCACCACCAAAUAGAAGAGACACUGAGACAACCCACCACAAACAUAAAUAUUAGACAACCAAUGAAUACUAUCACCAAAUGAGUUGCUUUUACAUAGCCUUCAUAUCUCUCACACUCUUCAUUACCAUAUCAUAAAGGCAUCAAGCAAUAUGAGCAUGUAAGAUGAUUUACCCUCAAGCUUAUCGUCUAUUAACCGAUAUGGAACUACAGACUUGCAGUUAUUGAUAUUUUGAGAAGAAGAGGAUUGGUAGCCACCUAAGCACCCUUUGGCACUUCGACCAGCAUACUUGUCCCAGUUCGAGAAACACCUGAGCCAACCAUAUGAACAAGAUGUUAUGGGAAGGGAAAAAAAUUAAAAGCAAAUGUUGAGGCUACAUGCACUAGAUCUGUGGAUCAACUGUUGUAAUGAAUAGUAAUAGCAACACACAACUCCAAACAAUAAACGAUGAAUACUGGUAGUAAUGAUUGGUGAUACUGAACAAGACUCUUCACAGAAUCUUCUUAUUCUCGGUGGAUAGAAUGGCAAGAUAAACCCUCCAUUUUAUGUUCGACCAUAUAGGACUGAAUCGCAAUCAAUAAGCAUUAGUAUUCUAGUAAUUCACUAUAAAUUAGUAGUAUAAGCAAAAUUGUUUCAUAGAUAUGUGAUUAAGGACUGACCCAAUCCUGAUUUCCUCGCCAGCUUCUGUUUUUGAUUUCCAAUAGUAAGGAAUCGAAGAAGACGAUAAAAAAUGAAGAUGAUUUAGUGUUUGAAACAGGUAAAAACCUUCUAUCUUUCAACAUCUGAAAACUCGUGAAGCUUCACAGCUAGAGUAGAUUACGAAGGCAUCCUCGACACUGCGGAUCAAGGGAAGCUCUUGAGCCUUCUUGAGCAGGCAACACUUAUGCUUAGAGGAUUCAUCAAUCUCAAUCUUGUCUCUCUCCAUUCGUUCUCCACCAUCAACGAACCUAGAUUCUGGAUUCUUCCAAUCGAAGGCAAAGAAAGGUUUGAGCGAAAUGUGUAAAGGCCAACCAUAGGUUUGCCCUCCAGAGUAGCGGGGGAGUUCGACCUAAUCUCUGUAAUAAGGUUUCGUAUAUUAAAUAGUUGAUUGGAUUUUCUGGAUGGGAUUAUCGAAUGGAAAGGUUGUUGUAGUGCAUUUAGAGGACGAGAGAAGGAAA
rnacentral:lncRNA from 1 species